AAUCAACACUCCACUCAGACAAUGCCCAGACCUCCAGAAACCAUGUGUCAAGCUCGGAUUGCCUUAGACAGGUGCAAUUUAAGAACAGCUUUCAUCCUCUUUUCUCUCAUAUUGUCACACUAUGUGUUCUGACUUCUGGCUCCUUUCCUCACAAGAAGCUCACCCAGCUGGAACUCUUAUGGGACCUUGGCACCAGAGACCACAAAUUCCUCUUUGAAGUUUUCUAACAGCAACAAUGGUAUUUCUGACUUGGCUUUCUUGUAUUUCUCUCACGUUAACAAAAUUGGUUCAGCAUCUACCAUGGGCUACAUGCUGAGCUACAGGUAAGGUUUGGCUAAAGGAUGAAUAAGAACCCCUCCUUGUCUUCAGGAGUUUGUCUAGCAGAGGAGUCUGUCAUGUAAUCAGGAAACUCCAGUACACAACGUGAUAGCUCUAAGACAGGUAUAUACAAGAUGAUGUUCUGGACCUUAACUGUUUGGGGAGUACUACUGCCUUUGUCUAAAAGCCAUCACCCUUUUUAUAUGCCAUUUGGGAGGAACUGGGGGGACGUGGGAGGCUUCAAAGGGUUAUGGGAGGAUGGACAUUUUAAAAGGGCUUUUCUUUUCUUUUUUUUUUUUUGAGACAGAGUUUCGCUCUGUCGCCCAGGCUGGAGUGCAGUGGCGCGCGAUCUCGGUUCACUGCAAGCUCCACCUCCCGGGUUCACGCCAUUCUCCUGCCUCAGCCUCCUGAGUAGCUGGGACUACAGGCGCCCGCCACCACACCCAGGUAAUUUUUUGCAUUUUUAGUAGAGACGGGGUUUCACCGUGUUAGCCAGGAUGGUCUCGUUCUCCUGACCUCAUGAUUCACCCGCCUUGGCCUUCCAAAAUGCUGGGAUUACAGGCGUGAGCCACUGUGCCCUGCCAAAGGCCUUUUCAAAUCUAACGAUGUACUCACAUUUCCACCUGUCUGCCAGCCCUUGUCCAGUUUGACCUGGGCACUCACUGCUGCUCUGGUGGUGAGUACUGCUGAUGGUUCUUUUCCCUGCCCAUCCUUGAGGUGCUCGCUUCAAUAUGUCAAAUGAGGACUCUCAUUACAUUUGGCUGUCAUACAUCAGCCACAACUGUCCUGCCCAGAAGAGCUGGCCUUGGCUUUAAAGCCUACAUCCUGGCUGACCUUCUUUACUGCUUUAUUAAGGAAUCCAACUUGCUGUUUGCUAUCACAUGUGCUAUACAUGCUGUUGAUGAAACUGCUAAAGGGGCUGAAUGUGACUGACGUCUUUGGAAGGAUGAGACUUAGCGUGCCUGUACAGUUGUGUCCAAAUGCUGUCCUCAUCUCCCAAUGAAAAGCUGAACUAGGGCCAUGCCUGGGACAGACAGAGAAUGGCCUUCCAGCAGACAUGCCAAGAAGCAAGCCAGGGUCAGUGAGUGAAGAGGAGGGCAGGCCCAUUUGAAGCAACACAGUUUAUCAAGGAGUCUUUAGCAACAUGAAAACGAACGUGUGUUAUUUGCAAACCAAGUAUAUCAUUACUGAACCUGAAUAUCCUUACUUUUUCAUAAGAUACAUGAAAAGAAAGAAGGAGAGAAGGAAGAAAGGAGGGCGGAAGGAAAGGAAGAAGGGAGAGAAGAAGAGAAGAAAGAAGCAGAGAAAGGAAGAGAAAAGAAAUUACGGCCAGUGCGGUGGCUCACGCCUGUAAUCCUAGCACUUUGGGAGGCCUAAGCGGGCUGAUCACCUGAGGUCAGGAGUUCGUAAGCCAGCCUGGCCAACAUGGUGAAACCCUAUCUCUACUAAAAAUACAAAAAUCAGCAGGGCAUGGUGGUGCGUGCCUGUAAUCCCAGCUACCUGGGAGGCUGAGGUAGGAGAAUCGCUGGAACCCGAGAGGCGGAGGCUGCAGUGAGUUGAGAUCAUGUCACUGCACUCCAGGCUGGGCAACAGAGUGAGACUCUGUCUCAGAAAAAAAAAAAAAGAAAGAAAGAAAGAAAGAAAGUUACCAUUAGUUUUUUGUUGUAUUUGCAAGCAAAGACAAAAGCACCAAGGUACUUGUUUCCUUCUGUAAUUAGAGUUUCAAAUAGACUAAAAGUUUCUGCUCUUAGGUGGGUCUAGAGACUCUCCAGUACCUCAGGACCUCAGGACACAUGGGGUCUCUUGGUUGUUUUCUUUUCAUUGUUGUUGUUUAUUUUAUUUUUGUUUUUAUUUUUUAACUUUAAAACAAUUUUUUGUAGAUGAAUAUGCUUACAUAUGUUUGGGGGUUUUUUUGAGACAGGGUCUUGCUCUGUUGCCCAGGCUGGAGAGCGGUGGUUUAACCACAGCUCACUGCAGCCUCGACCUCCCAAGGUAGGGACUGCAGGUGUGUACACUGGGGUGCACCACCACACCCAGCUAAUUUUUAAAUUUUUUUUUGUAGAUAUUGUCUCACUCUGUUGGCCAGACUGGUCUUGAAAUCCUGGGCUCGAGCAAUUCUCCUGCCUCGGCCUCGUAACGCGUUAGGAUUACAAGCGUGAACACCGCACCUGGCCAGCAUGUGGUCUCUUAACCAGAGGAGGCCUCUUCUGAACUAGGUAGAGGUCCUGAGAAUUGAUUCUGAGAGUAAAAGGCUCUUUGUUCUCCUCAGAGUAGAUUAGAAUCCCUAAUGAUAGAGCAUCUAUUAUUCCUCUAGUGGUCCAUGCCCAACAGAUUCAUCCAAGAAUAGAUGAAGAUCUUUGUAAUGUUGUGCAAGUAAUCUAAUCACCCCACAGAAGAGCUGUGACUUAAAUUAUCCCAGAGUCGGCCCACCUGUUUUCAUAAAGAUCAAUGUAACUUGUAAAUUUCUUCAGUUCUCCUCACCUAUCAUCAUUUGACUAACAAAACCCAGAAAACUAGGCUAGUUAUGGUGGCCUAUGCAUAUAAUCCCAACUCUUUGAGAGGCCAGGGUGGGUGGAUUGCUUGAGUCCAGGAAUUCGAGACCAGCCUGGGCAACAAAGGGAGACCCUGCCUAUAUCCCAGCUAUGCAGGAGGCGAGGCCAGAGGAUUGCCUGAGCCUCAGAGGUUGAGGCUGUAGUGAGCCAUGAUUGCCCCACUACACUCCAGCCUGGAUGACAGAGUGAGACCCUGCCUUAAAAAUAAUAAUAAUAGUAAUAAUAUUUCAUAAAGAUACAGGAAACUAGAUUAUAAUUGACAUUUUCAAAGUGAAAUACUGUCUAGAAUGGUGCUUGGCCAACAGUAAGCUUUUUGUAAGUGGAAGUCAUUACUACUACUAUUUCUUUCAUUAUUAUUACCAUUACUACUUUUUUUUACAAAAAAAAAACCCUGGACAACACACUGAAACCAUUACUACUUCUACUACUAUAACUUAGGUUGCACCUGAUAGAGCCAGCAAUUUUUCCAAGGUAUGACAAUGGCCAUAUGUUUAAUGAUAUAAUUCUAUGGCUCAGUGUAUCUCAGCCUUUUUAAACCCUGCUCUUCUUUUGACAAUUGUAAAAAUCUUAAACUGACCUCCAGUUGAAAUCCUCUGUCAAGAAGAUAUUGUCGGCCAGGGGCGGUGGCUCACACCUGUAAUCCCAGCACUUUUGGAGGCCGAGGUGGGAGGAUCACUUGAGGUUAGGAGUUCAAGACCAGCCUGGCCAACAUAGUGAAACCCCAUCUCUACUAAAAAUACAAAAAUUAGGCAGGCAUGGUGGUGUGUGCCUGUAAUCCCAGCUACUCAGGAGGCUGAGGUAGGAGAAUUGCUUGAACCUGGCAGGGCAGAGGUUGCAGCAAGCCGAGAUCACGCCACUGCUCUCCAGCCUGGGUGAGACUGUCUCAAAAAAAAAAAAAAAAAAGAAAGAAAGUAAGAAAAAGAAGAAAUCCCAAUCUCUUCUUUUAUGUGGAUUCUUCCUCACUUGAAUAAUACUUUUCUUCCCCAGUAUUCUCCAUAUUAUCCCAGAGUCAGCCCCUCUGUUUUUGUAAAGAUCUACGUAACCUCCUCUAAGUUUCCCAGUUCUCCUCACCUAUCAUAUCAUUUGGCUCAACAAAGGGCAGGAAGCUAGAUUCUAAUUGAUAUUUUGAGGCCGGGAGCAGUGGCUCAUGCCUGUAAUCACAGCACUUUGGGAGGCUGAGGCGGGCAGAUCACUGGAGGUCAGGAGUUCGAGACCAGCCUGGCCAAUAUGGUGAAACCUCGUCUCUACUAAAAAUACAAAAAAUUAGCCAGGCUUGGUGGCUUGUACCUGUAAUCCCAGCUACUCAGGAGGCUGAGGCAGGAGAAUAGCUUAAACCUGGGAGGAAGAGGUUGCAGUGAGCCGAGAUUGCUCAAUUGCACCCCAGCCUGGGUGACAGAGCAAAACUCCAUCUCAAAAACAAACAAACGAACAAACCUGAUAUUUUCAAAAUUGAGGCAAUUAUAACAGCUAUUUAGCCAAGCAUUAUGAUAGCAAUAAUAGCAAGAAAAUAAAUUAGUUAACAAAUGAGUCUCAGAAGCCCAAUGAUUUUUAUUUUAUUUUUAUUUUUUGAACUUUUAUUUUAGAAUCAGGGGAUACAUGUGCAGGUUUGUUACCCGGGUAUAUUGCAUGAUGCUGAGUUUUGGAGUAUGCAUGAAUCCAACCUGUCAUCCAGGUAGUGAGUAUAGUACCCAACAGAUAGUUUUUUUAACAUUUACUUCACUCCCUUCCCCAAUCUUGUAUUCCCCUGUGUCUACUGUUCCCAUUUUUAUGACUGUGCCAACAAUAAUUUUUUUUCUUUUUUCUUUAAAUAGAGAUGGGGGUCUCUAUUUAAAGAGCCUCCCAAAGUGCUAGGAUUACAGGUGUGAUCCAUUGCACCUGGCCCAUGCCAACAAUAUUUGAAACCCUUAUCUGCGUGUACAAGUUUGCUACUGGUUUUGUUUUGCUCAUUAAUACAUCCCAAGCAUCUAUACCUGGCUUGUAGUACCAGCAUGUAGUAGGUGCUUAAUAAAUAUUUAUUGAAUAAAUAAAUUAGUUUGACAUUAGUUUAACAUCUCAAGUAAAACAAAAUACCAUUCAAUUAAUUCUCUUCUUCUACUUUUUUCUUUUAAGAGAGACAAAUAGUCACACAUACAUCAGCAGGAGAGGAUACAAUUUCCUGUGUUUAAGUUUUUAUGAGUUACUUUAGUUCAAAUGUCACAGAAAAUUAUAUUGAACUCUUGACCAAUCUAUCUAUUUUUUCCAUUGGAGUAUUGACCCAAAUAAGAAAUAGCAUAAAGGAAAAAUUAUUUUUUGGCAGAAAAAUAUUCUCUCUAAAUUCUUGUGUGUUUUGUUUUGAUUUUUUCCUUAGUGACUGGAGGCCAGUUUCAAUCCACUGAAGCACAGAUUCCAAAUUUUCAAUCUGGUUUUCUUGAGUAGUGACUGAGUGCCAAAAAUGAAGCAAUGACACAACAUCACCAUCAAGACACUCCCCAGCACGCACACACAUGCCAGAGUCCAACACCAAGAUACUCCCCAGCACGCACACACACGCCAGAGUCCAGGCCAUAUUCGGGUGGCUUGCAAGCUUCUUCCCCCCAAGUAUUUACUCUCAAAAUAAUGGUUUUUGUUUUGUUUUGGUUUGGUUUGGUUUGUUUUUUUCCAAAUACAUUUCUUCCCUAUAUCUUUAACCAAUUCUCAUAAAAUUUUGUCUAAUACACUGGUCAGUGUAUUCCAGACCCUAAAAGAUAACAUAAUGAAACUAUCUAUGACUAAAAGGUAAUCAGGAUCUUCUACUUAUCCUUUUUUCCUCCCUCUUAAACUUUAAUUUUGAUACAUUUGGGAGUGAAAUGAUGACAAUAAAUGCAAAGUAAUUAUUGAAGAAACAGUAAUUUUGUAUUAGCUUACUGAAAAAAAAAAAAAAGAUAACCAAAUAUAUUUUGGCAGCCCCAAACGAGUCACAUGUGAAAUGCAGUGGGAGAGCAGUGUCCUGAAGGAAAAGGUGGCCUGCUGGACAGCCAAGAGAACAAACAUCCACUGCAAGUAAUAUGAGCUCUAAGUUUGGACUAGGCCUAUGUCUGCUCUGAGACUUGGGGCAAUUCACUUAAUCAGAGCCUUAAUCAGCUACGGACUAGCAAUAUCCAUACCCGCUACUUAUUUUGUAAAUCUCCUUUCUAAAGUUAACUCUAUUUAUUGUUCCAUAAUCCCAUAAAUUCUAGAAUCUUUUCCUGUUAUAGCCAAGUUGUCUAUCAUUGACAGAGAUAUUCACCUGGUUGUUUUGGCUUCUCUAAUCCUCCUGGUGAGAACACCUCCAAGGGAGCUUUCAGUGGCAUUUAAGGUCACUUGUGCUCUUGGUCCUAGAAACUGCCUUGAUAGUGGUUUUAGCUCACAUGAGGAAAAACGGAGCCCGAGCAGCUAAGGAUCUUGCCCACGGUCACUGAAUUAGCAAUGCUUGUGAUGAACAUUCCCAAAGCUUUUAUGAGCUCUACGAUCUGGAAUAGGUCUCUUUGUGAUCUGUUCUCCUACUUGCUAAAUAUAUGAAAUAUUAAACUUCAUAAUCACAAAGUUUCUGUAUCCAUCUAAAAAUGCCAAAGAUUGCAUUGCUAUUUAUUGAGCGCCAAUGUUCAGAGAAUGUUGCUACCUAUUGUGGAUGCUAUAACAUGCAUGUAAGAAUUUGUCUCUUGUCUCAAGAGUGCUUACAGUUUAGUUGGAGAGACAUUUAUAUAGACACUUAUGAGACAUGUAAACCACUGACAUAGCCACUUGACAUGGCUGAAGUUCAAAUGUCAAAAGGAUAAGACAUGAACAGCAAUGUAUGCCACAAGGUCCUGCAGAGGGUGAGAUCCAUUUGGCUUGAGGUGUUAGUGAUCAGUCUUCAAAGAGAAAAUAGGAGUUUUAUCUGUGCAUUAAGGCUGAGUUGGAUUUGAAUACAGAGACAGGAGAAGGGAAGUCAUCAUGUGCCUUGAACUAGUGCAAAAGUACAGAGGUAAAGAUAGUCACCGUUAAGCGUCCCACGAUUUAGUACUGAAAAUUGCAGAGAUUACUGAAUGAAUUUAUUAAAGGAAAUAAUUCUGAGUCUGUCAAUACAGUCAUGCAUUGCUUAAUGAUGGAGAUACAUUCUGAGAAACAAAUCCAUAGGUGAUUUCAUCAUUGUGUGAACACCACAGAGUACACAGACCUAGAUGGUAUAGCCUACUAUACACCUAGGCUAUAUAGUAUAGCUGUGAAAGGAAAAUAAAAUCUUGGAAUACUAAACUCACUAUGCCAAAGGGAGAAGUUAAGCUUGGGAAAGAAGUCAUGCAAAAACUGCCUUCCUUUUGCUCCUAAACAGCUGCAGCA
rnacentral:lncRNA from 1 species